GCGGGGAAGGGACGGGACGGGGCUGGGACGCGGUGGGGCGGAAGGGUUAUCGCGGGUCAGGGCAGGGCGGCCCUCUGCGGGAAGUUACGCCCUCCAGCUGCGACCCACCGUGACAGGGCGCUUCCCGUAGCGACAGGGCGAGAGAACAUAGCGUGAAAGCUGCUCCAGGGAGGUUUAGGUUGGACGCCAGGAGGAAUUUCUUCACAGAAACGGUUGAACUCGAUGAUCUCAGAGCUCUUUUCCAACCAAAUGGAUCCCGUGAUUCUGUGUGGUUCCCAGCCCGGGCUUGCAGGCUCUGCAAACAGCGCCGGUGCGUGUGGCGCCCUGUGGAGCGAAAUCCCUUCAAACAGCCAAUCUGAAAGCUCAGGAGCUCGCCGUAACAAUACAGGUCAAUAAAGAAGCAAACUCUCAGCGCGGCAGUGUGUGAUGGACCGCAUUUGCUUCUUUAAUAAUUUACUGUGUUAAUGGAUGCUGUCAGAUGAGCCCUCUGGUGAGAAAGAGCGUGAGACCUGCUUCUCGAGGAGAGGUAUAGAAGAGAUAAGUUUGGAAGGUUUUAUAAGAAGGAUGAAGCAUGAUGCACGCAGGGGAGGAAUCCCCAGGCAGGUUGGAAGCUCCUACAAGGAAAGGCUGAGAGAACUGGGUUUGUUCUGCCUGUCAAAAAGGAAGGCUUCGGGAUGACCUAAUUGUGACCUUCCAGUACCUGAAGGGAGCCUGCAAGAAAGAUGGAGAGAGACUUUUUACAAGGGCAUGUAGUGACAGUACAAGGGGCAAUGGCCUUAAAAUGAGGGUAGAUUUAGAUUAGAUAUUAGGAGGAAGUUCUUUGCUGUGAGGGUGGUGAGACACUGGAACAGAUUUCCCAGAGAAGUUGUGGAUGCCCCAUCCCUGGAAGUGUUUAAGGCCAGAUUGGAUGGGGCUCCUAAGCAACCUGGAAAGGUGUCCCUUUCCAUGACAGGUGGGUUGGAACUAGAGGAUCUUUAAUGUCCCUUCUAACCCAGGCCAUUCUACGAUUCUAAGUGAGACAAGGUGAAUAAGAUCCAGACUAUGAAGUAGAAGCAGAACAGAGACUUUCACACAGUAGAAAACUCAUCCUGAGUGACUGAGCUCUGGGCAGGAGCUAUAGACUGAUAAUUACUGGCCUGUAGUCAGUGCAAAAUGAAUUAACUAAAAGCAGAUGGAGACUCAUGAGAACUCAACACUCUCACUGCUGACCUACCACCUUCCAGGGAGCUCCUCACCAGCAGAAGCACCUUCUUCCAGUAUCCUACAGUAUCAACUCACAAACUGGAUCAUGCAGCUCACAGUGCUAAUAUUUUUUAAGUACCAUUCAUUCAUUGUAUCACUGAGGACAAGACCAUUCCAGCAUCUUGUUUUAAGAAAUACUUCAUCUGUAAGCCAUGUUAUUUACUGGCUAUUCUGAAGAUAACUACAAUGGCUGAUAAAUCUUAACAAAGAAAAAAUAAUUUGUUCUGUACAAUCCAAAUAGCAAUAAUGCAGGUAGUAGAUUUAAGAGAAAAACUAAAUAAUAAUGAAAUUAUGGUGGUGGUAAUAAACAAAUAAACAACAGCAAA